rnacentral:lncRNA from 7 species
ACAUUUUCUUCUGAGAUAUGGACCGAAGCCCACAACCCUUACACCUUCCUGCUCAUACUGAUGAUCCCUAUUCUGCAACAAAUGCAUAGUUUGGCUUUGAUACAAAAUCAGAGUCCUUAUAACAUGAGAUGAAAGAUCCCGAGGCCCUUCUUGCAAGGACAGUUAUGAACUCCUCUGUUGUGCUUCAAACCUAAAUAAUUCUACUCUUUUUUUCAAAGAAAAUUCCUCAUAGCUUUAGCCAAAAUCAUUCUUCACUUCCUCUGCUGGCUUCUCUUGAAUGGUGGGUGAAGAGAGGUCACAGCAGCUGCACUAUGGAAUUCACCCUGGAUGAAUGGGAAUGCCAAUGUCUUCACCUCCUGAAGAGAGGACAGAGCUCUCAGACUGAAUUAGCCACAGCUGGAUAGGUUGUUUUGAAAUCUCCACAAUUUUCAGACCUGGAAGAUUUUUCCAUCAUGCUGGUCUGGGGUAGGCAUUUGGUGGACAGGCUGUCUCUGACAGAAGAAUACAGUUCAUCAAAAGUGUCUGCAGGUUGUCAAACUCAGUGAGAUUUGGGGACACUCGGAGGCUGUCAUGGCCAACAAGAAGAUUUUCUGUAGGGUUCUGCCAUCAUUCACCCUCAGGAAAUAAUCACUCACUACAUCCUGCAUGCUCUCAUGAUAGAGCUCUAUUUGAGAGAAAAGAGCCAUUUUAUCAAAGGACAAUAUAUCCCUUCUCUUGGUCCAUGCAGCUUCCAUUAUCAGACCAUAAUAAAUCAUAUUUAUGUUCUCAGUUAAUAAGACUGAUUACAAUGCAGGUUACAGGCAUGGGAAAAGCAAAGCAGGUGAAAAGAUGUUUUAAUGAAAAUAUGAUAAGCAAACAGCUUCUUGUGAACAUUUCAGGCUGUUAUUUGUAAUGAUCACAGGCAAUUUUUGAUACAUCUUCUUUAGCAAUGGUUUAAGCUGCAUAAAUUGGCUUGCCACUUUAUACGUCGAACUGGGAUUCUUCCUACUUUGAUAUAUAAAGUGGUGAGCAAACGCAGAAGUCUCCAUGGUGUUGUGUGUCUGCGGGAGCUGUUCUGGUCACUGAUACUUCUAAAGCUCCCUUAAACAAAUGUUAAAGCUUUGUAAUGGGCCUGGCAAUGGAGAAUGGCCAUGAAAUUCCCUUAACCCUUUUAGGGCACUUCAGCAGGAGAAGUGAUCACACAAGAAACAGUAAACUGCGCUUCAAAGGCAGCAUCCUGAUAUGACAACAGAUGUAGAUAAUGCACUUCAUGAUGAAACUGCUUGAUACAGAGAAAAACACGUUGUAACUGCCUUCACCCUGAAAGGGGUUUAAAAAUGCUGCCUGCCAACUCCACAAAAAACAGAGCUGCUAUUUCAGUUAAAGGCCGGUGGAUUGUAUUUUUCGUGUCAGUUUUCACUAACCUCAAACAUCACUGUUAUGACAGACUGUCAUCCAACCAAACCAGCACUGUGGUGCCAUUCAGGCAAGAAAGAAGAAAGCAAACACAAAGGAAACUUAGAAGUCCGAGCAGUAAGAGCGGGUGUCUGUGAGUGCACUUUUGUGCAGCGAUACUGAUUACUGAAAAUGAAACACUUAAAAGAAAACAAACCC